AGUGGCUGAAAAGUCAUUCCAGGUGUAGAGGAUGUCUACAGGGCCUGAGCAUUUAGCUGAGUGGAUCUUGGAGACAGAAGAGCUAUAUUAGGGAGGCAGUGAGUGGUGAGAGCUGGGACUACCUCACUCCUUGCCAGCUCCACUAGAGCUGCAGGAGCACACAGGAGGGUAGAAGGAGCAGAGGGGUGUGCAGAGCACCACAACGACCCCUGGUGUGGUUUUGUCUUGCCGAGACAUCUCCUGGGACAUCAGCAGAUUGCAGCUCUUGUUUCUGAAGGUACAGCUAUACAAACAAGUGACUGUGGGGACAUGCUUGUACAUCACAUCAUGUUUUCCACAGCAAGAUCCCAUUCACAGCCUGUGCUUGCCGGGAUGGGAGGGAGAAGGUAUCACCGCAAAGAAUUAUGCAGCACUUUACUUUCACAGCACACUGUCCAGCUUGUGCAAGGACCAUGACAGUGCCACAGGAUGUUGCACCUGCAGGCUCCUCUGUCUGCCAGCACAGGGGGAAAAGAGAGGACUUGAUUGAAGACUGUUAAAGACUACGUACCUGCUAAUGUUGGAUUAGCCUCACAGAACUGCAAUGGUUUUUAUUUCCCAGGGAACAUGAAGAAAAAAUUGCAUCCUGCUGUGUUUUGGCAACAAUUUGACAGGGGGAGGUCCAUAAAGAAAACAGUAUCAGCAAAAGUCUUGUGAAAAAACAAAUUUCAAGAUCACUUGAUUCAAAAAGUCCUGUUAAAUCAUGUUAAAUGUUUUCUAUGCAUCCAUGAAGGGUUUGACAGCUGAUGUCUCUGUAUCACCGCAGCCUGUGUUAAGCUACAAAUUAUACACAUACUGUCCUCUGCUAGCUUCCCUCUUAUGAAUCCAGCUUAGCCCUUCCAAAUCAAUUUGGCUAUAGCAUUUUUUUCUGGCCUGAUCUUCAGUAUUUCACACAAAUAAUGUGUGUUGCAGUUCAUCUAUCCCAGGAUUUUUGUUUCCCUGGUGGGAUUUGAGGAAAUUCAUGUUCCUUUUCCUGGGAAAUGCAGUGAUUUCCUCAGGGUGGAUGAAAGCUUGCCAUUCCCUGCUGAAAUAGCCUUCCCUCACCCAGGAACCUGCUGUGCUGUGCGGCUUCCAGCCAUGCCACGUCCGACCUCCAGAAGUCACCCCAUACCACAUCUCAGCCAGAGCAAACCCACAGAAUAUCAGAGAUCAGCAGGCUCUUUCCUAUCCAUGGCCUGUCUAUUAUUGUUGCCACAUUUAAUUAAUUCCAGAAAUUCUUAUGUUAAAAUCUUGUUUGCAGGUGAAGGAGAAGCUCGCCAUAUACUACUGGAAACUUGAACAGUAAUUUGAAAAUCACUGCUAGUCUAGAUCUAAUUGUUACAGAGAAAGGAAGAAUAGCAGUGCAGUUAAAAUUCUUUCACAGCACCUGAUUUCUAUCCCUUUCCCUGGUGUCAGGCUGCUCUUCCAUGUCCUGGGGUGGUGGUCUCAGUCUGGGGCAUUGCAGUGAGUCAGGGACAUCCAGAGUGUAUUGCAAGGAGGAUCAUGAUGUUCAGGUUGAUGGUGUUUCCUUUCUUGAUCUAGGAUCCACUUGGAGGAGUUUUCCUAAGUUUUCUAACUUGCUUUUUUCACUCCUUUCUCUUUCUGUGCUAGAUGUAUUCACUGACUAUAUGUAGUGCCUUUUAUGUAUGUUUAGUACUGUUUCUUUUUCUUAUUUUACUCUAAAACCAGGUUUUCUCAGUUCCACAUUUCAUUGAACUAACUCUACUUGAAUGUUAUUGAAAGGAGAGAUAUUUAUGGCUAUGGGAUCACCAGUGCCAGCCUGUGCCAUAUCUCUUGCCAUCCCAUGCCUGUGCUCCUCUGUGCUGCAUCCUGUCAACUUCUCCACAGAUGUUGUGUCCAACCUGUCCACCCCUAUGCUGUAUUAUUGUAUUGAUCAAAAAUAGCUUAUUCUGCAUAGAAUAACUAGUCUCUGUAAAACUAUGGCCAUUGCAAGCAAAGAUGUGUAAAAAUAAAACCAACUAACUUUGCACACAUUGUCACUUAGAGAAUUUACUGCCACAUCUAAAUGAAGCAAAAUGAAGUAAAACAAGACUGCAAGCAGGUCAAGGAGAGUUCGGACAGAGCAGAACCCAAAAAUCUCAGUCCUGAGUAUUUUGAAAUCCAGUACAAAUCUUCUGGCCUGAGAAAGGCAGCACUACACUACAGGGCUACCUCAUCACAUGAUGCCCUGCUCAGCUUCACAGACAAUCAUUUUUCCAGUGCCUGACAUGAAAAUAAGAUUUCAGGCAUUGGAGCAUGCAAGGAUGGAUGACAGUGACACAUGAAGGCAACAGCGUGUUUCAAGUGUUAGACUAGUCUGUGCUUGACUUUUUGAUUAGCUGUUCAACAGCUGCUAGUGGGGAAGUGCUGCUGUGGGUGAUGGAACAGGUAUCUCCUUCUUUUCAUCUCUUGAGCUUCUGGCCUGUCUUAACAGAGGCAGAGGCUGGGUUUGACAACCCAUCUGCAUCCCAGCAGGCCUGGGAAGGUGCACCGCCUCAGGAUUACCCUGCUUGCUUCCAGAAGACAGCAAGGCACUUCACAUUUGGUGUGGGCAGCAUGUCAAAAUUAUUUUCUUUUCCCUUUCACACACGUUGUUUCACAGGUAAAUAUGACCUAAGAAUUUCUGACAACACUGUUUUUUAAAGAGAUGUGAGUCUGGCUUUCACUGAAUUAGAGCCAUGGGGCACUGGACACUUUUAUCCCGAGCUGUCAGUAGGUCUCUGACCCUGACAGUCCUGCUGUAGCAAGAUACUUUGUGCCACCAAGCAAGGAAAAUGCCAUUUCUAUUUGCAAAAGGGACACAUUUCCUUGGGUAAUAAAUGAAGCGGGUCACUGUCCGUUUGGGCUGUCAGUUAUCUUUGGCUCCUUGCUCCUUGAUUUACUGUGUGUGGGAGCAGCUUGGCACAUCAAUAUUGCAAAUUAAAUACCAAGCAGAUAGGUGAUCUUUUGAGUUUGCAUCUGGGAAGGAAACAACUUUCAAACUGAGGUUCAGCUCUCCUUCAUUUCAAAUCAUGUCAAUCCACUAAUCAAAGUGUUUGAUCAGCAAUUUUUAUGCAGCUCCAGUCUGUACAGUCUGUUCUGGACUUUUUCUUCCCCUUCUUCCUCUCUCUGUCUCUUUCCUUCAGCAGUCAAAUUUUACUUCACAGGCUGGUUGAAGCUUCUAAACUAGUAUUACACCACUCACUCGUUAAGUGGAAGCUGCUUAAAAUCCUGCAUUAUUGCAUUGUCUUUGUGUAUCUGUUUUCCCAGUGACCCUCAUGGUGUUUAGAAUCAGUGGGUCUCCUAGAACUGUUAGGGCCAGGCAGGCACAGUUUAGCCCAUGAAAAUGCUAAUUAGGAUGGAGAAAUAUAUUGUAUGCAUUCCAUAUGUUUAGCUCUAAAAAAAUAUGAAAAAUCCAUAGCCAUA